CUUGCACAUAAACCCAAAGUUCAUUGUGUUUCUUACAUGAACUUGUCUGUUGUGCAAAUAUUAACUGUAUCUUGUCGCCUUUCUUGAGCAGAUGUGCUCAUGACAGUGAAAUAGAAGAUACAACAAUU